ACUUUGGUGACCUAGUGGUCAGAGUGUAUGCCUUGGAUGUGGGAGGUCGUGGGUACAAUCCCCGCCAAGUA